AGUGAACGCUGGCGGUAGGCCUAACACAUGCAAGUCGAACGGCAGCACAGGAGAGCUUGCUCUCUGGGUGGCGAGUGGCGUACGGGUGAGGAAUACAUCGGAAUCUACUUUUUCGUGGGGGAUAACGUAGGGAAACUUACGCUAAUACCGCAUACGACCUACGGGUGAAAGCAGGGGACCUUCGGGCCUUGCGCGAUUGAAUGAGCCGAUGUCGGAUUAGCUAGUUGGCGGGGUAAAGGCCCACCAAGGCGACGCUCCGUAGCUGGUCUGAGAGGAGGAUCAGCCACGAUGGAACUGGGACACGAUCCAGACUCCUACGGGGGGCAGCAGUGGGGAAUAUUGGACAAUGGGCGCAAGCCUGAUCCAGCCAUACCGCGUGGGUGAAGAAGGCCUUCGGGUUGGAAAGCCCUUUUGUUGGGAAAGAAAUCCAGCUGGCUAAUACCCGGUUGGGAUGACGGUACCCAAAGAAUAAGCACCGGCUAACUUCGUGCCAGCCGCCGCCGUAAAAC
rnacentral:rRNA from 1 species